rnacentral:rRNA from 1 species
GACGAACGCUGGCGGCGUGCUUAACACAUGCAAGUCGAACGGAAAGGCCCUGCUUGCAGGGUGCUCGAGUGGCGAACGGGUGAGUAACACGUGGGUGAUCUGCCCCUGACUUUGGGACAAGCCUGGGAAACUGGGUCUAAUACCGGAUAUGACCAUGAGAUGCAUGUUCUGUGGUGGAAAGCUUUUGCGGUUGGGGAUGGGCCCGCGGCCUAUCAGCUUGUUGGUGGGGUAAUGGCCUACCAAGGCGACGACGGGUAGCCGACCUGAGAGGGUGAUCGGCCACACUGGGACUGAGACACGGCCCAGACUCCUACGGGAGGCAGCAGUGGGGAAUAUUGCACAAUGGGCGCAAGCCUGAUGCAGCGACGCCGCGUGAGGGAUGACGGCCUUCGGGUUGUAAACCUCUUUCAGCAGGGACGAAGCGCAAGUGACGGUACCUGCAGAAGAAGCACCGGCCAACUACGUGCCAGCCGCCGCGGUAA